UACAGAGGUCUCAAGCGUUGUUCGGAUUCAUUGGGCGUAAAGGGUGCGUAGGCGGCGCGGUAAGUCGGGUGUGAAAUCUUGGAGCUUAACUCCGAAACUGCGUCCGAUACUGGAUGGCUUGAGUUCGGGAGAGGGAUGCGGAAUUCCAGGUGUAGCGGUGAAAUGCGUAGAUAUCUGGAGGAACACCGGUGGCGAAGGCGGCGUUCUGGACUGCAACUGACACUGAUAGACGAAAGCCAGGGGAGCAAACGGG
rnacentral:rRNA from 1 species